GAUGAACGCUGGCGGCGUGCCUAAUACAUGCAAGUCGAGCGAACAGACGAGGAGCUUGCUCCUCUGACGUUAGCGGCGGACGGGUGAGUAACACGUGGAUAACCUACCUAUAAGACUGGGAUAACUUCGGGAAACCGGAGCUAAUACCGGAUAAUAUAUUGAACCGCAUGGUUCAAUAGUGAAAGACGGUUUUGCUGUCACUUAUAGAUGGAUCCGCGCCGCAUUAGCUAGUUGGUAAGGUAAAGGCUUACCAAGGCAACGAUGCGUAGCCGACCUGAGAGGGUGAUAGGCCACACUGGAACUGAGACACGGUCCAGACUCCUACGGGAGGCAGCAGUAGGGAAUCUUCCGCAAUGGGCGAAAGCCUGACGGAGCAACGCCGCGUGAGUGAUGAAGGUCUUCGGAUCGUAAAACUCUGUUAUUAGGGAAGAACAAAUGUGUAAGUAACUAUGCACGUCUUGACGGUACCUAAUCAGAAAGCCACGGCUAACUACGUG
rnacentral:rRNA from 1 species